rnacentral:rRNA from 1 species
ACGGAAGGCAGCAGUGGGGAAUAUUGCACAAUGGGGGAAACCCUGAUGUAGCGACGCCGCGUGAGUGAAGAAGUAUUUCGGUAUGUAAAGCUCUAUCAGCAGGGAAGAAAAUGACGGUACCUGACUAAGAAGCCCCGGCUAACUACGUGCCAGCAGCCGCGGUAAUACGUAGGGGGCAAGCGUUAUCCGGAUUUACUGGGUGUAAAGGGAGCGUAGACGGCGAUGCAAGUCUGAUGUGAAAGCCCGGGGCUCAACCCCGGCACUGCAUUGGAAACUGUGUUGCUAGAGUGCAGGAGAGGUAAGUGGAAUUCCUAGUGUAGCGGUGAAAUGCGUAGAUAUUAGGAGGAACACCAGUGGCGAAGGCGGCUUACUGGACUGUAACUGACGUUGAGGCUCGAAAGCGUGGGGAGCAAACAGGAUUAGAUACCCUGGUA